rnacentral:misc_RNA from 30 species
UAACUACUCGAAGGGGAGUAGCUUACACGAAAGUGGUAAUUAAUCGUCAAGACAGUAGAAAUACUCGGUUAAUUAGCAAGGGAUUCCUUGAUAGCAAGACCUUCAAAAUAAGC